CUCUAGCUGGAGAUCACUCCUCUUGGAGCCCUUCCAGGAGCCCAGGGUGUGGGUAUGUCUACACAAUGCAAAGUUACCAAAGUGUCUUAGACAUCAUGGAACAAGCUGAUAAUCCUACCUGGUCCUGUAUUGUGAGGGGAUCUCCAUGUAGCAUCACAUCUGAGCUAAUUAAUGCUGCCCUUCCUCCAGGCUAACCGGUGUUGAUAUGACUUUGCUGCUUAUACACCAAAUGAGAGACACGUGGCAUUAGCUUCAGUUUAUGCUUUGCCACCUUCUGUUUUCCACUACAUGCAGUAAAGUUUCAUGUAAAAUGAAAAUAUUUCACAAUUUAGAACCUAACUCUAUGUAACUGAUGAAGAGGCAUAUUUUUGGUGGACAAAAACAAGUUUAAAGCAUCAGCGAUGAUUUUACAUAUUACUAUUGUAUAUUUAUUUCUGUAUUUAUACAUACAUAAGAAACAGAACCAGAGAAGCGUGGGAAAAUGCUUCUAAUUUAUUUUUAAUCUCAAUGCUGUAAUUCAUUUGGUCAGUGAAUUUAUACUAAAAUUGUAUCUCACAUUCUUCUUCCUUUAUUUUGCUUUAUUAUUCUUCCUAUUUACAGAAUUUACUUUCAGGUUAUUUGAAUCCUUCCCCAGUUAAUCCUGAUCUUUCAUUUUCUCUCACAUUGCUUCAACAAACUGUCUUAUCCAUUUUUUCUCUCUUUCUCUCUCUCUCUCUCCCUUUAUUCAUUUAUUUAUUACUAUUUUAGUAAUAUUAUUAUCAUUUUUUUUUUUUACUGCUAAUUUUAAUCUAUAUUUUGAGCCCAGGAAAGAUUUCUCCUGAGUACCAGCAAAAAUGGUAUUAUGAAUAUUCAUAGAUUGCUGUAAUCUUUGAGUUUUAAAAUAGAAAUUACUAUUGUCAUACCAAUGCUUGUUCUAUCUAUUAUAAAAUAUUCAAUUGUGCCUAUAGUUGACCUUAAAUAUCUAGGGGACUUAGCUCUACUUUUUUAAUUCUUUCGCAAGACUAAUUUAUUAAUUAUUACUUGCCAUAAAAAGACUUUGCAAUUUAGUGCUUUAAUGGCUUUUUUCUUCUUUGAGAUUUUGAGAUAGAUAAUAUCCUAGUGGGAAAAAAAUAUAUAUCUUUUUGUGAAUCAGAACCAGAAUGGCCAUUCAUUGCUUAAUUCAUGUGACAGUUUUGUUCAUCAAUUUCUAACACCAUCAAUAAAUAGAAGUAAUGUCUUU
ensembl:lncRNA